UAAUAUCUUUCAGGAAAAGCCUUUGUUGCAGAAAUUUUUAACCACCGCAACCAAGGAAACAGCAGUCGAACCAAGGGAGCAAAACGGAGAGGAUCAAAAAUUAUCAGUGGUGCCAGACUCAACAAGUGUCACCACUAAAAUUAAUCCUGCAGCAGUAGAAGCCAUAAGAAAAGAGGACACCAAAGCAUUGUGUGAAACUGCACAGGUCUCCGCUGAACUGAAGGUACAGCA